GAGCCAGCAGCAAAUAUUGUGUUGUUGGAUUUUAUUUCAUCCCAGAAGUGGCAGGAUGUGGUAGAUUUUGAUGAUCACCUUGAUGACAUUACCAAGGACUGGCUCAAUCCAGAUCUCUUCAAGUAGUCCGGCCCUUGGAUGUGUCAGUGGUUGCUGUUGCUUCAGGGGCAUCUCGUUAACCUUGAUGUACGACGCAGGAACUUGAGGGAGCAGACAUGGAUAGGCAGUAGGCUUUGUGGUUUCUUUUUCAUGGCGAAAUUUUGUAGUAAUGUUAAAUUUUUAAGGUUCUCAGACAAGCAACUCAAUGUCUUCUUUUGAGGAAACACCUUUAUUGAAAUUAUGACUUUAAAAGUGAAAUGACAUGCCAUGUUCAAAUAUAAUUUUCUUUGUGUAAUGUUAAGCAUGGAUAAUUUCUACCAAUGUAAUAAUUAAGAAGAAGCGAAGGAAAU
rnacentral:misc_RNA from 1 species